GAUGAACGCUGGCGGCGUGCCUAAUACAUGCAAGUCGAGCGAACAGAUGAGGAGCUUGCUCCUCUGACGUUAGCGGCGGACGGGUGAGUAACACGUGGAUAACCUACCUAUAAGACUGGGAUAACUUCGGGAAACCGGAGCUAAUACCGGAUAAUAUAUUGAACCGCAUGGGUCAAUAGUAAAAGACGGUUUUGCUGUCACUUAUAGAUGGGUCCGCGCCGCAUUAGCUAGUUGGUAAGGUAAAGGCUUACCAAGGCAACGAUGCGCAGCCGACCUGAGAGGGUGAUCGGCCACACUGGAACUGAGACACGGUCCAGACUCCUACGGGAGGCAGCAGUAGGGAAUCUUCCGCAAUGGGCGAAAGCCUGACGGAGCAACGCCGCGUGAGUGAUGAAGGUCUUCGGAUCGUAAAACUCUGUUAUUAGGGAAGAACAAAUGUGUAAGUAACUAUGCACGUCUUGACGGUACCUAAUCAGAAAGCCACGGCUAACUACGUG
rnacentral:rRNA from 1 species